rnacentral:rRNA from 1 species
AUUGAACGCUGGCGGCAGGCCUAACACAUGCAAGUCGAGCGGAGCGGCGGACGGGUGAGUAAUGCCUAGGAAUCUGCCUGGUAGUGGGGGAUAACGUCCGGAAACGGGCGCUAAUACCGCAUAAUAUCAGAUGAGCCUAGGUCGGAUUAGCUAGUUGGUGGGGUAAAGGCCUACCAAGGCGACGAUCCGUAACUGGUCUGAGAGGAUGAUCAGUCACACUGGAACUGGACCGCGGUCAAGACCCCUAGGGGAGGCAGCAGGGGUGAAGAUUGGACAAUGGGCGAAAUGCUGAUCCGGCAUUGCGGGUGGUGUGAAGAAGGUCUUCGGAUUGAAAAGCACUUUAAGUUGGGGGGGGUUACCAACAGAAUAAGCACCGGCUAACUUCGUGCCAGCGGCCGCGGUAAUAC